ensembl:ncRNA Y4C6B.99 ncRNA
GGUCUCGCAACGAACACCUGCCUCUCUCUCACACCCUCUGUGGUGUACUCCACCUGGACUAUGUAAAUAGUUUGGUGGGUUUCUUUGGUUAUUAUUAGUUUUUUUCUUUUUCAAAUUAGCCCAAAACGUCUAUUCUUGCAGAC